rnacentral:rRNA from 1 species
GAUGAACGCUGGCGGCGUGCUUAACACAUGCAAGUCGAGCGAACAGACGAGGAGCUUGCUCCUUUGAUGUUUGCCGCGGACGGGAGAGUAACAUGUGGAUAAUCCACCUAUCAGACUGGGAUAACCUCGGGAAACCGGAGCUAAUACCGUACGAUCAACUGAACCGUAUGGUGUAAGAGUGAAAGUCGGUCGUUCUUGGAUUUAUUGAUGGACCCGCGCCGCAUUAGCUAGUUGGUAAGGUAACGGCUUACCAAGGCAACGAUGCGUAGCCGACCUGAGAGGGUGAUCGGCCACACUGGAACUGAGACACGGUCCAGGCUCCUGCGGGAGGCAGCAGUAGGGAAUCUGACGCAAUAGGCGAAAGCCUGACGGAGCAACGCCGCGUGAGUGAUGAAGGUCUUCGGAUCGUAAAACUCUGUUAUUAGGGAAGAACAAAUGUGUAAGUAACUAUGCACGUCUUGACGGUACCUAAUCAGAAAGCCACGGCUAACUACGUG